GUGGACGUAGCUCAGUCGGUAGAGCCCUGGUUUGUGGCACCAGUGGUCGUGGGUUCGAGCCCCAUCGUCCACCCCA
rnacentral:tRNA from 2 species